rnacentral:rRNA from 1 species
GACGAACGCCGGCGGCGUGCUUAACACAUGCAAGUCGAGCGGUAAGGCCCCUUCGGGGGUACACGAGCGGCGAACGGGUGAGUAACACGUGGGUGACCUGCCCUCAGCUCUGGGAUAAGCCUGGGAAACUGGGUCUAAUACCGGAUAUGACUCCAUGACGCAUGUCGUGGGGUGGAAAGCCUUGUGCGGCUGGGGAUGGGCCCGCGGCCUAUCAGCUUGUUGGUGGGGUGAUGGCCUACCAAGGCUUCGACGGGUAGCUGGUCUGAGAGGACGAUCAGCCACACUGGCACUGCGACACGGGCCAGACUCCUACGGGAGGCAGCAGUAAGGAAUAUUGCGCAAUGGGCGAAAGCC